AUACAGAGGGUGCGAGCGUUAAUCGGAAUUACUGGGCGUAAAGCGCGCGUAGGCGGUCUAUUAAGUCAGAUGUGAAAUCCCAGGGCUCAACCUUGGAACUGCAUCUGAUACUGGUAGACUAGAGUUUUGGAGAGGGAAGUAGAAUUUCAGGUGUAGCGGUGAGAUGCAUAGAGAUCUGAAGGAAUACCAGUGGCGAAGGCGACUUCCUGGCCAAAAACUGACGCUGAGGUGCGAAAGCGUGGGUAGCAAACGGGAUUAGAAACCCUAGUAGUCC
rnacentral:rRNA from 1 species